rnacentral:rRNA from 1 species
GACGAACGCUGGCGGCGUGCCUAAUACAUGCAAGUUGAGCGCUGAAGGUUGGUACUUGUACCAACUGGAUGAGCAGCGAACGGGUGAGUAACGCGUGGGGAAUCUGCCUUUGAGCGGGGGACAACAUUUGGAAACGAAUGCUAAUACCGCAUAAAAACUUUAAACACAAGUUUUAAGUUUGAAAGAUGCAAUUGCAUCACUCAAAGAUGAUCCCGCGUUGUAUUAGCUAGUUGGUGAGGUAAAGGCUCACCAAGGCGAUGAUACAUAGCCGACCUGAGAGGGUGAUCGGCCACAUUGGGACUGAGACACGGCCCAAACUCCUACGGGAGGCAGAAGUAGGGAAUCUUCGGCAAUGGAAGAAAGUCUGACCGAGCAACGCCGCGUGAGUGAAGAAGGUUUUCGGAUCGUAAAACUCUGUUGGUAGAGAAGAACGUUGGUGAGAGUGGAAAGCUCAUCAAGUGACGGUAACUACCCAGAAAGGGACGGCUAACUACGUG